rnacentral:rRNA from 1 species
GAUGAACGCUGGCGGCGUGCUUAAUACAUGCAAGUCGAACGAACAGACUAGGAUCUUUUUCUUCUGACGUUAGCUGCUGACGGGUGAGUAACACGCGCAUAACCUAUCUAUAAGACUGUGCUAACUUCCGGAACCCAGAGCUAAUACCGGCUAAUUUCUUUAUCCUCAUGGUUUAGUAGUGAAAGACGGUUUUGCUGUCACUUAUAAAUGCAUCCCCCCCGAAUUAGCUAGUUGGUAAGGUAACGGCUUACCAAGGCAAGGAUGCGUAGCCGACCUGAGUGGAACGACGGCCAGACGGGAACGGAGAGACGGCCGAGACUCCUGAGGGGGGCAGCAGUAGGGAAUCUUCCGCAAUGGGGGAAAGCGUGACGGAGCAAAGCCGCCGGAGGGAUGAAGGUGUACGGAUCGUAGAACGAUGUUAGUAGGGAAGAACAAAUGUGUAAGUAACGAGGCAGGUAAUGACGGUACCUAAUCAGAAAGCCACGGCUAACUACGUG